rnacentral:rRNA from 1 species
AGUGAACGCUGGCGGUAGGCCUAACACAUGCAAGUCGAACGGCAGCACAGUAAGAGCUUGCUCUUACGGGUGGCGAGUGGCGGACGGGUGAGGAAUACAUCGGAAUCUACUUUUUCGUGGGGGAUAACGUAGGGAAACUUACGCUAAUACCGCAUACGACCUACGGUUGAAAGCAGGGGAUCUUCGGACCUUGCGCGAUUGAAUGAGCCGAUGUCGGAUUAGCUAGUUGGCGGGGUAAAGGCCCACCAAGGCGACGAUCCGUAGCUGGUCUGAGAGGAUGAUCAGCCACACUGGAACUGAGACACGGUCCAGACUCCUACGGGAGGCAGCAGUGGGGAAUAUUGGACAAUGGGCGCAAGCAUGAUACAGCCAUACCGCGUGGGUGAAGAAGGCCUUCGGGUUGUAAAGCCCUUUUGUUGGGAAAGAAAAGCAGCAGGUUAAUACCCCGCUGUUCUGACGGUACCCAAAGAAUAAGCACCGGCUAACUUCGUG